GACGAACGCUGGCGGCGUGCCUAAUACAUGCAAGUCGAACGCAGUGGGGACGGGUGCGUAACACGUGGGUAACCUCCCGUCAGAGGGCAUAACACUUGGAAACAGGUGCUAAUCCCAUACUGGUUGAUGUACCAGCUGGGGAUUAGCGAGUUGUUGAGGUCACGGCUCACCAAGGCCACGAUGCCUAGCCGACCUGAGAGGGUGAUCGGCCACACUUGGACUGAGACACGGCCCAGACUCCUACGGGAGGCAGCAGUAGGGAAUAUUCGGCAAUGGACGAAAGUCUGACGCAGCAACGCCGCGUGAGUGAAGAAGGUUUUCGGAUCGUAAAACUCUGUUGUUAGAGAAGCGGUACCGACCGAGAAAGCCACGGCUAACUACGUGCCAGCAGCCGCGGUAAUAC
rnacentral:rRNA from 1 species